rnacentral:rRNA from 1 species
AAAGAUUAAGCCAUGCAUGUCUAAGUAUAAGCAAUCAUACUGUGAAACUGCGAAUGGCUCAUUAAAUCAGUUAUCGUUUAUUUGAUAGUACCUUUACCUGGAUAACCGUGGUAAUUCUAGAGCUAAUACAUGCUAAAAAUCCCGACUUCGGAAGGGAUGUAUUUAUUAGAUAAAAAACCAAUGCCCUCUGGGCUCCUUGGUGAUUCAUAAUAACUUAACGAAUCGCAUGGCCUUGCGCCGGCGAUGGUUCAUUCAAAUUUCUGCCCUAUCAACUUUCGAUGGUAGAGUAGUGGUCUACCAUGGUCUCAACGGGUAACGGGGAAU